UUGGGAAUCUUCCGCAAUGGACGCAAGUCUGACGGAGCAACGCCGCGUGAGUGAAGAAGGAUUUCGGUUCGUAAAACUCUGUUGUUAGAGAAGAACAGCGCAUAGAGUAACUGUUAUGCGUGUGACGGUAUCUAACCAGAAAGCCACGGCUAACUACGUGCCAGCAGCCGCGGUAAUACGUAGGUGGCAAGCGUUGUCCGGAUUUAUUGGGCGUAAAGCGAGCGCAGGCGGUCAAUUAAGUCUGAUGUGAAAGCCCCCGGCUCAACCGGGGAGGGUCAUUGGAAACUGGUUGACUUUAGUGCAGAAGAGGAGAGUGGAAUUCCAUGUGUAGCGGUGAAAUGCUUAGAUAUAUGGAGGAACACCAGUGGCGAAGGCGACUCUCUGGUCUGUAACUGACGCUGAGGCUCGAAAGCGUGGGUAGCAAACAGG
rnacentral:rRNA from 1 species